rnacentral:rRNA from 1 species
AACGAACGCUGGCGGCAUGCCUAACACAUGCAAGUCGAACGAGAACUUCGGGUCUAGUGGCGCACGGGUGCGUAACGCGUGGGAACCUGCCCUUAGGUUCGGAAUAACUCCCCGAAAGGGGUCCUAAUACCGGUUAAUGUAUUCGGACCAAAGAUUUAUUGCCUUUGGAUGGGCGCGCGUUGGAUUAGGCAGUUGGUAGGGUAAAAGCCUACCAAGGCGACGAUGCAUAGCUGGUCUGUGAGGAUGAUCAGCCACGCUGGGACUGAGACACGGCCCAGACUCCUACGGGAGGCAGCAGUGGGGAAUAUUGGACGAUGGGCGAAAGCCUGAUCCAGCAAUGCCGCGUGAGUGAUGAAGGCCGUAGGGUUGUAAAGCUCUUUUACCCGGGAUGAUAAUGACAGUACCGGGAGAAUAAGCUCCGGCUAACUCCGUG